rnacentral:lncRNA from 1 species
AGACUUGCUUGAGCAUGUGAUCUUAAGGGCUUGAAAGCACUCGAUGAGGCCUCUUGUGUUGGAGGCCCAGUUCCAUUGCUCAGAGCUCCAUAGCCCCCAUUUGGGACAGAGUGUGGCUGAGUAUGGUGUCUGCUAACCAUACAGAGUUUCAUUUUCUUCACAACACUGCCUGUGUGCCUUUUCUUUCUUUGUUCACCAUUCCUACCGGCUACCAUGCAGAGGCCCUCCUCGUUGGAGUUGAGAGAACAAUUGCCUUGCUUUAUAGAGGAGGGAAACCACCUUCAAGCAAGAUAAACAGGAAGGCAGUCAAACUUGGAAGCCAUCGGAGCUGUCUCUUACGUUUGUGCCUGGGUUGCCUGAAGGAAGGAGUUACCUGUAAGACAAGAGGAGUGAACGCUGACAAACUAAGUCCCACCCAGGCAGCAACACUGAUUCUCAGUGAGCUGUCACUAGGCCUUGAACCUGGGCUUCAGGCCUAGGCACUCCUUCAGGACCUGUAUUGGGACAGUUGUCCCAAGAUUGCAACCCAGUACUGUAUUGUGUUUGUAUUCACUGCGGGGUAUCCAGAGGUAGGUGUGGCCGAGCCCGUGGGUGACUGUAUUCUCUAGGCUCCAGGUCUUAAUCCUGAACCACUGUUCUCUAGGACCCAACUGACCUUCAUCCUUGUUACUUCUGGGAUCUUUCACUCUUCGCCUCCGUUCUUCCUUCCACCACAUCCAUCAACUCUAACAACCUCUCCCUGGACUCCAACCCCCAGCCCUGGAACCCCCACAGUGUUAGUCAGCACUCAGUACUUCCUUCCGACUUCCAUGGCCUCCUUAGAUGUGCCCAUGUCCUCCUCUGACCAAUGGGCACCAGUCAGAGAGGCAUGUAGCUUGGUUAGGUGUGCAGCUCCAGGACAGAGAUCUACUUGGACUCGAGGUCCCUCCCUGGAUUCAC